rnacentral:rRNA from 1 species
GCGUACCUUUUGUAUAAUGGGUCAGCGACUUAUAUUUUGUAGCAAGGUUAACCGUAUAGGGGAGCCGUAGGGAAACCGAGUCUUAACUGGGCGAUUAGUUGCAAGGUAUAGACCCGAAACCCGGUGAUCUAGCCAUGGGCAGGUUGAAGGUUGGGUAACACUAACUGGAGGACCGAACCGACUAAUGUUGAAAAAUUAGCGGAUGACUUGUGGCUGGGGGUGAAAGGCCAAUCAAACCGGGAGAUAGCUGGUUCUCC